UAUGAACGAAUGUAUUAAUGAGUACCGAGACGAGCCAACAUAUUCGCGGGAAGGAAACAUUGCCACCCUCAUCAAUGAUCUAGACGUAUUAACAUAUGUUUGCACACUGCCAGGAGCAUCAAGUUGAAUGUAUUCUCGAUGACAUCGACGGAUCUGUAGAAUGUAAUUUCGUAAGAUAAAAAAUACGGUCUCUAAGAUCGUCACCCUGCUAACUCAGUCACCCCAUGUCGACAACAAUUUAACAUUGAGUAAUCGCGCUUUGAGGAUCUCCAUCUGCGCGCAUAUGUGAAAGAUGACUAUCCCCAUGAAAUUGUCAGUCGCGGUGUAGGAGAAC